rnacentral:rRNA from 1 species
UACGGAGGGAGCUAGCGUUGUUCGGAAUUACUGGGCGUAAAGCGCACGUAGGCGGCUAUUCAAGUCAGGGGUGAAAUCCCGGGGCUCAACCCCGGAACUGCCUCUGAAACUAGGUAGCUAGAAUCUUGGAGAGGCGAGUGGAAUUCCGAGUGUAGAGGUGAAAUUCGUAGAUAUUGGGAAGAACACCGAUGGCGAAGGCAGCCAUCUGGACCGACACUGACGCUGAGGCGCGAAAGCGUGGGGAGCAAACAGG